rnacentral:rRNA from 1 species
UACGGAGGGGGCGAGCGUUAUUCGGAAUUAUUGGGCGUAAAGGGCGCGUAGGCGGCUGUACAAGUCAAAGGUGAAAUCCCUCGGCUCAACUGAGGAACUGCCUUUGAAACUGUACGGCUUGAGGCCGGGAGGGGGUAGCGGAAUUCCCAGUGUAGCGGUGAAAUGCGUAGAUACUGGGAGGAACACCAGUGGCGAAGGCGGUUCUCUGGGCAUGUCCUGACGCUGAGGAGCGAAAGUGUGGGGAGCGAACAGG